GGACACACAGGAACAGAGGGGUUGAGGGCCUUGUUCAAUGAGCUUACAUGCUAGAGGGAGUGGGGUAAAAUUACAUAAAAAGGUAAGGAUAGUAUUAGACUAGUGACAGUUGCAAGACAGGAAUCAGUCAGGAGCUAUUAACAGUUUAAUUGAUACACUUUUAUGAAGACGUGGGUUUUUAGUGAUUUUUUUUUGAAGGAGUGGAGACUGGGUGAACAUCUAACGGAGGAGAGAAGUGAGUUCCUCAGGAACGGUGCAGCCUUCGAGAAAUCUUGAAGGCGAGCAUCAGAGGUGGGAGUACAGACAGAAGACAGACGUAAGUCUUCAGCAGAUCGUAA